CUAAGUUGGAAAGCCCAGCAUGAUCCUGCAGAGGCUUGUGGAGAAAAAGAAGGAGGCAAGGAAUGAAUGACUUCAACGACAAGCCAGAUCAUUCAAAUGAAAAUCAUCCCAAUAAAUUCUGAUGCCCAACAAAUGUGAUGGAAGGAAACCAUUCUCUGCCAGGAUCACAAAGAUAUCAUGGAGAAGGAAGUAUGCCUUGAAAGAAUGGAAGAAGUGCUUCUACUAGGAAGAAAGGUGUGGAGAAGCAAAGGGGGAUCCUAAACUUUGUCACAACUUUGGAAAAUACUGGUCCCAAGAGGAAUCCAGACAAGACAUUUCUAGAUUGGGAAUGCUUUCCAGGGCAUGUACAGAAAUUCAGGUUUCUUAUACAUGAAGGACUGAAUGCCGAAGGCCAAAAAACAGAGGAUGGCACCGAUCCACAGCAGGAUGGAGAAGCCCCCGAAAAGUUGACGGAAG